AUUUUAGGCCUUGCCAAGCUUCAGGGAACAUCGGCGUUCCGCUUCAUUCUCUCCUCCACAAAAGGGGCUUCCCGUCCACCCCCCCUCCCCAACACUUGCAUUCAGAUGGUGGGCCCAAUCCACUAGGAACAUCUCUGCAAACCUCCAGCCUUGCGUAAGCAACUGCAGAGCCCCCCUAUUUCUAUCCAACAGUGUGUGUGUGUGUGUCCCCGCUAAAUUUUGGAUGCACAAGAAAUGGAAUUGGUUUGGAAUCUGAAUGGGCUUUAAAUUAUUUCUGUCUGUGGCUGUUCUUCGGUUUCAGUUUCCUGCUGUUUUGCCAGGAGAGGACGGUGAGCCAACUUUUUUUCUUCUUUUUUUGGAGGGGGAGAGUUUCAUAAUUGUUUGUAAAUGUUAAAUAUAUCUAUAUCUAUCUAACUAUUCUAUCUAUAGCACGUGUUCUAGCCAAGAAUAAGCAAUUUUAAGUCCUAUCGAUUUCAACGGGACACAGGAGCACAGGAAGUUGCCUUAUACUGAGUUGCUUUAUCCAGCUCUACACUGACUGGCAGUGGCUCUGCAGAAUUACAGACAGAGGAUAAUCUCAGCCCUGCCUGAAGAUGCCAUUGGGGAUUGAACCUGGAACCUUCUGCAUGUGAAGCAGACACUCUACCACUGGGCUAUGGUCCUCCCUAAACACACAGACAGAAGCACAAGGUGAGUUGAGUAACAGCCAUAUGCAGCUGCUGUAUUCUGAGUCAGACCCUGGGGUGCAUCCAGCUCAGUACUGUCUACACUGAGAGGCAGCAGCUCUCCAGGGUUUUAGGUAGGAAACAUCCCCAGUCCUACCAGGGAAUGAACUUGAUGCCUUCCGCAUUCAAGGCGGAUUCCCUUCCAUUGAGCAGUUGAUGUAGAGCUGUGUAAGGCGCUCCUGGGACUAGGGCAAUCCCUUUCUUCUAAUUUAUAAGCAUAAUUUCAGUAUGCUGUACUUAUUUACUCAUACAAUAGCCCUGGAAAGGUGCUGAACUGGGAGGCAGUGAUACUCCCAGGGCCAUUUAGUGAGCUUCCUGGACUAAAAGAUGUGAACCUGGGUCCCCGUCCAACAGUCUGUGUGCUGCUUUCACACUCUGCCCUUGCCUUCUGGAGUCCACAGAGGCCCUUAGAGUUCCUUCUACUCUAAUGCACAGGAAGCUGCCACAGAGUGACACAAAGCAAUUUACAUUAAAACCAAUUAAGAGCAUCCAUAUAUUCUUUUUCUAAUCUAAAACCACAGACGAAACAGACCAGGACUUACUGAUCCGACUCCAAUAAAAUAGACCGCAAUGCUACAACUUCCAAUUAAGGGCCAAAAUCCCAGGCCAAAAAGAGAAAGAAAAGAUAGUCGGU